UAGGAGGGACGAAUUUCCAAAAGGGAAAACCCUAAUUUUUUACUCUCCCAUUUUUUCUCCCUCAGCCUCCACCACCCAAAGACCCCAAAACAAGCCAUCUCCAUACCAUUUUUUUUUUUUUUUUUUGUAAUCAAAACCCCAAUGAUUUUUCUUCCAUUCUCACUGACUAGUGAAGUAUCAACGCCAAACAACCCCUUUUUCCCUUUCCAUUUUCCGGCGAACCAUACCGAAAACCCCUUUUCAUUAUCCUCACGUUGAGCUCCAAGCUCCAAUCUCUCCGGCGAACUACCGAUUUUUAGUGAGCCACCAAACGAACCAGACCACUAACAGCCUCAACGGUUAGCUCAAGCUCCCUGGCGAGAUAGAAACCAUACCACCAACAAGCACCACCUCAAAGGAGCGGCUCCGGCUUCGGUAAACAACAAUCAGAAGUUUCAAACUCCGAGAUCGUCCCCUUUUUCCGUCUGGCUUGCAGUUGGAGCUUCCUGUUUCAGUCGACCGAUCUGAUUUACAAUUUGUGAGGUGUGAAUCUAUCCUUCAGGCUGGCUACAAUUGUACAGCACGGAUUGAGAAGAACAAAAGAAAGGCACGAAUGAAACGCAAGACAUC